UACGCUAAAAUCUUUUAAUUUUUCGGAUAUGUCUUUACGAUUUUUGGAGAGUAGGAUUGAUAAUUUUGAUACAAUAACCAGGCAGAACAUGAAGAUCGUUCGUUCUGUUUUUUGCAAUAUAAGCUCAAUAAACUGAAAAGGACCUCAAUUCACAACUCCGUACUAAAGAGGCUUUGUGUCGCAAUAGUAAAACUGUCGGGUUUGCCGAGAACUUUACCUACCACGUUUGCCGUUUUGUUCGCAAGUAACCUGGACGCCGUGAGGGGAUCGGGAUCUUCAUGAGUGCGUGAUUGCAGAAAUUUAGAUAAAAUAGAACAGUUGUGUUUGGAGAAGCGAUCCAAGUCUUUUGUGUCAGGUUUUAUCAAUUACCCAGUGAGUUGAAGUCGAGUCAUAAUAACUUGAAACAAGGUUUUCAACGUCACCGAAGAAUGCUGCUGGAAAUCAUCACUCAUCGGAUAAGAUGACAAUACAAACGAAGAUUGUGAAAAUUCAAUGAAUUCAAAUUUUUCUCGAAACAGAAGGAGAUACGAGAAGCGAGUGGUUGACGCCACUUUAUAUAGUGACUCUCCAACGAGAUGGCCUACGUUUCAGAACUUGGCAGACGGAAAUGCGGGUAGUGAUUCGGAGAACGCUGUGCCAGGAGUUUCAGAUUAGUCAACAGACUAUACCGCACCAUCUUCAGAAUCACUUUCAAUAAGCAAUGUAAGUGACUUAAAAGAAAAUCAUAUAUACGGAAAAGAAAAGGGCUGUAAAUCAAUUCCAAAAAAAGCUUCUAAAUAAACGUGAACCAGAAAAGAAACGACGAAAAGAAAAAUAAUUGCACGGCUUUGUAUAUCUUGCGAGAAGUUUAUUGUAAAGCUUUAAGACAUCUCUGUAUAAUUCAUAAAGAUGAACCGGCAGUGAGCACAUAAUUUUGUCUCUCCUCAACAACUUAAUCUAGUGGGCAUAUCCA